rnacentral:tRNA from 1 species
CGGACCGUAGCGCAGUCUGGUAGCGCACAACCUUGGGGUGGUUGGGGUCGCUGGUUCAAGUCCAGUCGGUCCGACCA